rnacentral:lncRNA from 1 species
UUUGGCAAAAAACGGAAUGAACCACAUAUACCUUACUGUAUAAUUGACACAUCAGAUGGUAAACUUCAUGGAAAAUGUGGCGAAAAUGAUGAUCAUUUUGUAAGCCAAAUCAUACUUUUAUUACUGUUAUUAGAACAUGUAACUGGGUUUUUUUGCAAUUGUUAAAAUCAUUAGUGAUUCAUACUUUAUGAUAUUCUGAGGAAUCUGGCUUCAGGAAAUAAUAAGUUAUAAUGCUUUUUCCUUUCUCAAAUGCUUACGAAAAUAAAACUUCAAUGCAAUUUCUAACCGUAAUCGAAAACGAAACGAGUGUUUGGCGUUGAAAGAUACACGCCUGGUAUCAGUUUAAAUUGGCAGAGAAACCGUAAUAUGUGGAAACAACUACGGUAUUUCGGAAUGGAAAUUGGCAAUAGUUGUCAAAGAUUACGAUGCGAGUCAAACGCACAUUCUUCAAGCGGGAUUUCAACUCGAAUAUAUGGAAUUAACACUGAUGUCACUCAAUUUAUUGUUAACGAUAAAGAUAAUUCAACUGUUUAACAAGAUUCAAAAGUCGACAAAAUCGGACUUUUCGGUGUUUUAUGGUAGUGUGUAAAGAAGAGGCAAAAGAUACCAAAUAGACCUUCAAACUCAUAAGUCGAAAACAUACUGACAACGCCAUGACAAAUAAGGAGAUAUAUAAAAACUGAAGACGUUAAAGAGCUCACAAAAGCAACCUAUAAGUUAAGGGGUUCUUGAUUGGUACCUACAUAUGUCGUUCAAAAUUGGAAUGUGACAAAUACGAUACGAUAAGAUGUCUAUAUUUUGAACAGAAAAUGCCAUUGACUUCAAUAUUGAAUUUAUUUUUAUUUUUAUUGUCUUAAAAAUGGGGUUUAAAUUUCACAUGUUUUGUGUAAAACGAUAAUCAGUAUACAUAAACAAAUGUGUGACGGACGCAAGCAGGGUUUAAUGAACAAAUAAUAAAGUCAUCAUAGAUACAAGGCGUACGAAUUGACUAUCUGAUAGACCGAAAUGAACAUCACUUAAUGUCGCGUCUCAUUUGGGGUUUCACAUGAAGUCAUCAAUUACUAUUUUUAUAAUUAAUAGAUUGCCUUUGACAAUGUACACUUUUUUUAUUUUAUAAUUCAUGAUUCUUCUUUUUAUUUCAUGUUUUAUUUCAUUAUGUGAUGGUAUCUAAUUAUACUUGUAGAAUGAGUGCCCAAAUUUGAGAGACUCUAAAUGUAGAUGUUAUGAUCAGUCAUGUAUAGAUGGUUUCUCACAACAAUGUAAGUUUUUUUUUAUUUAUGUAUGUGUUUGAACGUUUUUGUGUAAGUUUCAUAAGAAUAAAAUACUUAAGAGUAUUCCGAAAGAUUAUCAAUAUUUUCUCUUUUAUUCAAGUUUGUAUAAGCAGUUUUCAAAUCUUAAUAACACAAUACUGAAAUAUUGUAUAGCAAAUGACAGUGUAUUCAAGUGUUAUGUUAUCUAAAUUGACAACAGUUGUUCAUCGAUGUUCACAUCUUUGAAAAAUUCCAAAAACAAAUCAAAAAAAUAAAAAGAAUGUUAAAGAAUCGCAUUCACUCUAAAAGUUGAGAAACUGUAGUGUUUCUCAUGCGGUGUAUCAUCACCUUUAUUUAUCUAGUAAACAUAGUUCAAGCAGUCGAUCAUUUAGUGAACAUAACCGUACACCCUUUAUAGUUCUGAUUUUUAAGAUGUAGAAGUAUUUGAAUAAUGUAGAAUUGAUUUGAAGUAUUUUAAGAAUGUUUUAGAAACUUUUUAUUAUUGUUUAAAUGUGUUGAAAUUUGAAACUUUUCGGAAUUUUAAAGUAUGACAGGUUUAAAGUAGUAGUUGAAAAUACCCUCUGUUUGGGGUUUAGUCCAUGUGAGUUUACCAGUUGUCAUAGUUUUUUGAUAAUUUCAUAUUUUUCUCAAUGUUCAAAUGCUCUGAAUAUAAUGGGGUGCUGUAUAUUUUUCGAAACACUGUCUUUUAUUGUCAUCAUUUAAAAUCAUAUUAUUUGUUGCAGAUAGGGAUACGUACCCUUGCCUCAAUCAUUUUUGCCAUGGCACUGUAAGUUAGCAAAAUUACUACUUUGUAAUGUUAGAAAUAAUGACUGCAAAUUUACUAAAAUGCAAAAGGAGAUAUUGGGUUAUUGCAAAUGAAACAGCUAUGCAGCACUGCUCAAAUGACGAGGACAUAAGCAAUAAAAAGUCAAAGUACGGUCUCUAACAAUGACAACACCCGCAACGUAUGGUACAGCCCUUGAAUGCUGUAAACUUCCCAAAAAACGUGUAUGGUGUAAUGGUGUUUAUUUCAUAUUGGUUAAGCAUAAGCUUCUCUUUUUGGAUAAAAAGGGGCCACAUGACAGUCAUUAUUUUUCAGUAAUAAAUUCCAUCAGUCAUUUUAAAACAGAACAAAACGGGUCAGAAAAUUGAUUUUUACAUGAUAAUGACCGGUGGGCGUGGUUUCCGUCUGUUAUUGACCGUUGGAGCUUGGUUUCUCUGUUACAGUCCUUGGAUGGUGUAAACUUCCCAAAAAAACGUGUAUGGUGUAAUGGUGUAUGGCAUAUGGUGCAAUGGUGUAAAGUGUAUGGUGCUAUGGUGUAUGGUGUAAGGAGAAUGGUGUAAUGGUGUAUGAGGAAUGGUGUGAUUGUGUAACGUGCGAUCGGGAAUGGUGUGAAUGAACGGUGUACAACAUUUCAUUGGUUGAAAACGAAGUUCUUUUUAUUUUAAUUUUCGGAUUGUAAACAUAAACAAUAAUAACAAUCUUAAUAUUUGAAAUUUAAUUGCGUUAUGGGUAAUUUCGGAUCGUGUAGAUAGAGUGGAGAAUGGUGUAUGGUGUAAUGUGUAACGUGUAUGGUGCAAAGGUGUAACGUGUAUGGUGUAAUGGUACAAGGUGUAUGGUGUAAUGGUGUAUGGUGUAUAGUGUAAUGGUGUAUGGUGUUAGUGGGAAGUUUACACCAUCCAAGUACUGUAAGAGAGAUGUCCCUUUAAUAAAACAUUUUCCUGUUUUUAAUAUUAUAUUUAAGUUGUUGAAUUGUUUACCAUAUGUUUUGGUAAAUUAUAAAAUUAAAGAGAACUUGAUUAAGUAUUCAUAUUCUGACAAAUUUCACUAAAAUGAAUGACAGUAUGACUAAAACAUUGUCUUCGCUCUUUGUCAUAGAAAUCCUACAACUUCUCGAGUUUGCUUUCGACAUUUUGAAUUUAUGAUAAUUCUCAAAAACAUGGUUCCUCAAUGAAGUAAACAUAAUAGUCAUUGAAUAACUGGUCAUUAUCGUGAGACAUGGGCUUCCCGUAGGACAGUGAUAUUGACUGUGACAGCGAAAAUGACCUCCCCUUCGGCUCAGCCAUUAUCACUAUCUUAGUCCUGUGGGCAGUCCAUGUAUCACGAUAAUGACCAGUUAGUCAAGAACUAUUAUGUAAAUGGUAUAUGGUGAAAUGGUAAAAACUGUAUGGUGCUAUGUUAUUUCAAACAAAAAAAAACCAAUGACCUCAAUCUUGACCAUCAAUUUACGAAAAACAAAUAUGACCAGAUAUCAACCGAACACAAACCGCAAAAUACAGGCUACUGAAUUGGAAAAGGUAGAAUUAUCUUGGACAGUGGUGUAACAACACUACCUAAGAAAUGUAAAACCAGUGCAAAUAGAUUAUCUCAAUAGAUCUGCACUUGUCACGAAAAAAACAGAUUACAUUACAACAAUAAAUGAAAAAAGAUGCCAACCUUAGGAUACAAUAAUAUUACUGUCGUUUAUGUAACGCUUGAUACAAUGAGUUCUUUUUCCAAUAGAUCUUCGUUCGAAUUUUUAUUAGUGAUACGCUUUAUUUUAUUCAUUCACAAUUACAUUGCAAAUACAUUCUAUUCAGUAAGAGAAUUCCUACAUCAAAUACAACUCAUAUAUAAAUAAUAUUAAGAACGAAAAUCCGAGUGAUAUGCAAACCUUCUUACGAUGGAAAAAGAAUUAUUGUUCAAUAAAAUAAUUAAUGAAAUGCAAACUUUUUGACAAAAUGUAUAAUCUUUGUAAUUCCAGUUUAGAGCACAGUUUUCUACAGAAAGAAAUUCAUUUUUAUACCAACCCACCGAAAUAAUCAGUAAAAUGUAUAAUAUCGAUUCUCCGGCACACAAUUUAAAUGAAUCUUCAUUUUAAAAGUACUUAAUUUUGAUGAUUUGUCUAUGUCAUUUCCUAAUUUAACGUGAAUUAAAACUCGCUUUGACGUCUUCAUUCACAUAAUACUACAAACCAGGAAAACUCCAAAAUUACCUAUAUCUGUCCUCGACUGAUCUGAAUUUUACUCGAACAGUCUGAACUAAUGAAAAAAUUUACUGUAUUAAUCGACUGUUAUCUAAAUCAUACUUAACAGUGUGCACUAAAAGAGGGACAAAUAUACCAGAGGGACAGUCAAACUCAUAAAUCGAAAAUAAACUGACAACGCCAUGGCUAAAAAUGAAAUGGACAAACAGACAAACAAAAGUACACAUGACACAACAUAAAAAACUAAAGAAUAAAUAACACGAACCCCAUCAAAAACUAGGGAUGAUCUCAGGUGCUCCGGAAGGGUAAGCAGAUCCUGCUCAACAUGUAGCACCCGUCGUGUUGCUUAUGAGAUAGCAAAUCCGGUAAAUAGUCCAAUUCGGUAGGUCACAUUCAUAAAAUGGAAGGGGACUGUAGUUACGACGUAAGGAACAUAUCCGAUAUCAUUUGUGAAACGGUUAUUCCAUAACGGUCAACCAACUCAUGAUGGCGUUCGCAAAAAUUACGAAGAGAUGAUUUCAACUUCACCAUUUGGAACUCUUGAUUUAUUAGUACUGAACCAUUAAAUAUGUGCCAUCACGAUACUCGACCAAGUCUUAACCAUGCUCUAUCUAGGUUAAAUCUUACUCCAUCUAUUAUAUUCAACAUAGAAUGAAUCAUACUUAAUCUAGUAUGAAUACUACAUUGAGAAUGAACCAUACUAGAUAGAGUCUGGACCAUAUUUGAUUAAGUUGUUACAAAAUAAGACUUAUUUCUGUAUCUAUAAGCCAUCUGUCACGGCAGGAAAUUUAAAUUUAAAAGGAAUUUAAAUAUGAUAUGAUACAUAUAUUUAAAAAGCUAAAACAUCAUUUCUUAAAAUGUAUUUAAAAUAAAUGUAUGUAAGUUGUUUACGGAAACACUAUUGCUGUGUAGCUCUGCCUUUUCAAGUUAUUUUUUUAAAUGUACAGUCUAGUACUUUUGAAAAAAUAUUAGUAAUUAGUUGACACUGUUUUAAAGAAGAGGUUAUUAUUUGGCCAAGUAUAGUUCAGGCUGAGUGAACAUUGUUUAGUCUUAGGUCGAGUUUGGUUCAAAACCUUACUAGGACGAGAUUACAAUUUCGAUCAUACAAAUGUACAUGCAUGGACUGUUUAUGUGUAUAUGUCUUUCGAUAUCUUCUCAAAAAUGCAAUUCAAUACAUGUUUCUUAAUUUUCCACAAAUUUCACUCAAUCAAAACCAAGUUUGCAUAUCGCUAUAAACAUUUACAUUUAGCAUCAUGCUUAUGUUGUUUUCUCUUGUAGCAAUUUUAUCAUGCUUUUUAAAAUCUUAUUUAGGAACACUGUCAUCUAAGAAGAGAUGGUCAUAAAAUUGUCUCUUCUUGCAGUGAUCAUAUGGUAUGCAUUUUUCUUCAAAUAUCAAAAAGUUUAUGCUUAUCGGAAUAUGAUAUGCAAACUAAAGAAAUAAAGCUCCAUUUUCGGAAUCCUUUACAUAUUUGAUUAAUUUACAGAAAUGUUAAGUAAUCAUUCAAUAGAUAUAGGAAGAUGUGGUGUGAGUGCCAAUGAGGCAACUCUCCAUCCAAAUAACAAUUUUAAAAAAGUAAACCAUUAUAGGUCAAUGUACGGCCUUCAACACGGAGCUUUGGCUCACACCGAACAACAAGCUAUAAAGGGCCUCAAAACUACUAGUGUAAUACCAUUCAAACGGGAAAACCAACGGUCUAAUCUAUAUAAAAUAAAAAAAGAAGAAAUAUCUCAAAUAUAUAAAAAAAACUUUAGCAUUGCUGAUAAUUAUUCAAUUAUAGACUUAAUAUUAAGAUAUGUUACUUAUUUUAAUGCAUGAUAAACAAUACGAAAUCGAAUAUGUUGCUUUAACGAUUGUACUAUGAAAAACUUUGCUUCUAAAAAAUGUUGACAUGUGAAUAGUAUAUUUUUGCAUUAACGAGCACUUCCGAUUAGGGUAAAAAAAACAAUCACAAAAAAUCUGGACACUGUAUUAGUGUUUCUUUGACUUGCAUAUCUUAUUGUCAUCUUUGUAAAUUCUAACUCAUGUUUAUAGUAAAAACAGAUAUCUCUAGAUAAUCGUGACGGUACGUUGAUAAUAGUUGGUAUCAAUGAAUAAUAGAAUAAUUACUAAUAAUUGAUGAUAUUGAUAUAUAUCUCGUAGUAGAUAUAUUCCUUUUCACGCAUGUGUUGUCAAUUUCGAAUAUUUGUCUACUUACAGAUGUCAUUUUUAUCUUUGAUAUAUUUAUUUCAGCCACAGAGUUAUGAAUAUUGUGUCAAUCAUGAUUCUAUUAUUCUAUCACAUGGCUGUUAUUGUGAUACAGCUGAUUGUGUGCAGAAAACAG